CACCGACCCGAUUUCGGCUGAGAUUCAUGCAUGCAGGAGGGCCCUUCAAGUCGCGACGGAGAUUAAUGCUACUAGGGUGCAUAUUGAGCUGGAUGCGAAGGAGGUGGUGGAUAUGUUGAAUAAUCCAGCAAAAAAUCUGUCUGUGUUGGGGCCGUGGAUCCAGGAGAUAAAAAACAUCAAUGGGUGUGUUUGAUGAUGCUAAGAUAUCAUGGGUUCGUCGUUCGACGGAAUGUAGCCGCUGAUAAGUUAGCUAAGGUCGGGAUAGGGGAUAAACUUAAUAAGGUUUGGUUGGGGGUCCUCCCGGAUUUUGUUCUUUCUGUAAUCUCGCAUGAAAUUCCGAGUUUCCUAGACUAAAUAAAGCGGCAUUAUUCCCUAAAAAAAAGAUACGCAACAGGACAUUACGUGUUCUUGAACUCACGCUAUGAAAGUAGAUAGAGAUGGGGAAAAGGGUGCUACUUGGAGUAGUGUUUGUAGUUGCAUUUGCGAGAUGGAAAGCUUGGUCAGAAGCCAUGACAUUUAUAG
rnacentral:lncRNA from 1 species